UUUGUAGUUAGGGAUGCAUUUUUUAAACAAAUUUGUGCAAAUAUUAUAAAUAAAAUCUGUCACCCACAAUUUAUUUGUGACGGAAUAUUUUAUAUAACUUUGUCCCAACAUUUAAAAAAUAAGUAAACUUGGGGACGAAAUGUAAGUAAUCUGUCCUCAAAUUGGGACAGAAUUUAAGAAAUCUGUCACAAUAUUGGGACGGAAUGAAAUAUGAGUUUAAUCAAAUGAUUAUAUUCCGUCCCUAAAUCCGUUCCAAAUGUGCGACGAAAGUUAAAAUUCCGUCCCCAACAAAUUGCGACGAGCAAAUUGCGACGAAAAUAUUUUGUCCCAGAUUCCGUCCCAAAUUAUAAUCGUGACGGAAAUUUCUACUGUUGUGCGACGAAAAAUUCCGUCCCAGAUUGAUUUUUUUCUAGUAGUG
rnacentral:lncRNA from 1 species